UACGAAGGGGGCUAGCGUUGCUCGGAAUUACUGGGCGUAAAGCGCACGUAGGCGGUCUUUUAAGUCGGGGGUGAAAUCCUGGAGCUCAACUCCAGAACUGCCUUCGAUACUGGAAGACUUGAGUCCGGGAGAGGUGAGUGGAACUGCGAGUGUAGAGGUGAAAUUCGUAGAUAUUCGCAAGAACACCAGUGGCGAAGGCGGCUCACUGGCCCGGUACCGACGCUGAGACGCGAAAGCGUGGGGAGCGAACAGG
rnacentral:rRNA from 1 species